UGUAGUUCUAAUCCAUAUAAAUAAUCUAUUACAUCAAUAUGAGGCAGCGAUUGGAAUAUUAACAUAUGCUCAGCAGCAUUUGGGGGUUCAGUUGAAGGAGUCAUGGUAUGAGAAGUUGCAACUCUGGGACGAUGCUCUUAAAGCAUACACUGCUAAGGUGUCACAAGCUUCGAGUCCACAUCUUUUUUUGGAUGCUAC